rnacentral:rRNA from 1 species
GACGAACGCUGGCGGCGUGCUUAACACAUGCAAGUCGAACGGAAAGGCCCUGCUUUUGUGGGGUGCUCGAGUGGCGAACGGGUGAGUAACACGUGAGUAACCUGCCCUUGACUUUGGGAUAACUUCAGGAAACUGGGGCUAAUACCGGAUAGGAGCUCCUGCUGCAUGGUGGGGGUUGGAAAGUUUCGGCGGUUGGGGAUGGACUCGCGGCUUAUCAGCUUGUUGGUGGGGUAGUGGCUUACCAAGGCUUUGACGGGUAGCCGGCCUGAGAGGGUGACCGGCCACAUUGGGACUGAGAUACGGCCCAGACUCCUACGGGAGGCAGAAGUGGGGAAUAUUGCACAAUGGGCGGAAGCCUGAUGCAGCAACGCCGCGUGCGGGAUGACGGCCUUCGGGUUGUAAACCGCUUUCGCCUGUGACGAAGCGUAAGUGACGGUAAUGGGUAAAGAAGCACCGGCUAACUACGUG